UUCGCUUUCCGCGACGUCCGCAGAAGUCCACUGAACCUUAUCAUUUAGAGGAAGGAGAAGUCGUAACAAGGUUUCCGUAGGUGAACCUGCGGAAGGAUCAU
rnacentral:rRNA from 1 species